rnacentral:piRNA from 1 species
UGUGCAGUUUCAGCCUCCUGGUUGGACAGUA